rnacentral:misc_RNA from 1 species
GAUGAAGAACGCAGCGAAAUGCGAUAAGUAGUGUGAAUUGCAGAAUUCCGUGAAUCAUCGAAUCUUUGAACGCACAUUGCGCCUUCUGGUAUUCCGGAAGGCAUGCCUGUUCGAGAGUCAUUAACAACCGUUUCGAUCCCUUUCUUUCAGAAAUUACAAAGAGGAAAAGGGUUUGGUUAUGGUGGAGGAGGGAAAGGGAGCGUUUAGCCUGUAAAAAAAGAGGCUGUGUUCCGCCUCCCCCCCAAAAUUGUACAGGCGGUCGUGUGCGCCCACGCAUCGAGGUGUUGUAAAAGCUGCCACGGCACUUUUCACCUGUGCAGUGCGAGAUUGGCCAGCCGGUUUAAAAACCCCUCCAAACAAUCAAAGGUUGACCUCGGAUCAGGUAGGGAUACCCGCUGAACUUAAGCAUAUCAAUGAGCGGAGGA